GGGCUUAAGAUGAUUUCAGAGCUCACAGACAUUUCCAUACAGAUUGAGAUCAGGAAUGCCAAAUCUGAGUGUGGAGAGAAUUGCUCUUGCCAAGUUACACAACAUGGAAAAUAAACCCUUGUAACAGAAGCACUCCUAGGAGCUGCUGCAUGGCUAGGGGUGCUGUAGCAGCAUCCUGCAGGCAGGGUCCUGCUUUUCCCAAGAUAUGUAAAAGCUUGUUAACACAAGAAUGCAAGGACAAAUCUUCAGCAAGGAAGGAAUAAUUGAAGAUGCUAAAUCUUCAGCAGAUGAUCAUCACAUUCCAAAAGUGAGUUGUUCUUAAACACAAAUGGCCACAAGGAUGGAUGUCAGGAGGAGCAAAUUCCAGUGCUUCCAUGAGCAUUCCUGCUUCUUAGUGUUUCAAGACCAAACAAGGCUUAGGUGAAGGUACCUCCCUGCCUCUCCAGCCUCUUCACAGCUUUGAAACAAUAACAAAAGAAAAAGAUUAUGUCUGGCUCAAAA